rnacentral:lncRNA from 1 species
CUGGGUAGGUGCUCCUCCAGAAGCAGGGGUUCUAGGAAGAGGUCAAGACAAAGAGUGGAGAGAAGGAUGCCCAUAGCCUUUCUCAGAGGGGCUUAGAUUUGGAUUCUAUCUCCCACAGCAUCAUCUGUGACUGCCUUGCUCUUGGCACAGUGUGUGAAGCGUCUUCUCUAGAAGAAACUAGUACAGCCAGGUCAUCGUCACUCCAUGUAAGAUGGUAAUUGCAGCAGUCAGUGCUCAGCUUGACGUUCUGACACAGGACUAAGUGGGCUGAGCUCAACAUGUGAUCUAGAAAACAAUCGAAAAGCUAACAUCAAGGACUGGGAGUUCUGCUGAGGAAAUGAGUUCCUGUCCCAGAACUCAUGCUUUGUUUUGUGAAGAUGGAAAAACAUCUGUACGGUGCUACACUCUGUGGGAAAACCAGCGCUCGGGAAAACGGGCACAGAGGGAUCCCUGGGGCUCACUGCUCAGCCAAACUAGCAUAUUUGGCAAACUUCAG